rnacentral:rRNA from 1 species
UGGGGAAUUUUGGACAAUGGGGGCAACCCUGAUCCAGCAAUGCCGCGUGUGUGAAGAAGGCCUUCGGGUUGUAAAGCACUUUUGUCCGGAAAGAAAACGUCGUGGUUAAUACCCGUGGCGGCUGACGGUACCGGAAGAAUAAGCACCGGCUAACUACGUGCCAGCAGCCGCGGUAAUACGUAGGGUGCAAGGCGUUAAUCGGAAUUACUGGGCGUAAAGCGUGCGCAGGCGGUCCGCUAAGACAGAUGUGAAAUCCCCGGGCUUAACCUGGGAACUGCAUUUGUGACUGGCGGGCUAGAGUAUGGCAGAGGGGGGUAGAAUUCCACGUGUAGCAGUGAAAUGCGUAGAGAUGUGGAGGAAUACCGAUGGCGAAGGCAG